UUUCCGUAGGUGAACCUGCGGAAGGAUCAUUCAUAAUAAGUGUUUUAUGGCACUUUUUUAAAUCCAUAUCCACCUUGUGUGCAAUGUCAGGGUUUGUCUCUUUUUGAUCAGCCCCAAACAUCAACUAUUAUCUCAACUCUUUGUCUGAAAAAUAUUAUGAAUAAAACAAUUCAAAAUACAACUUUCAACAACGGAUCUCUUGGCUCUC
rnacentral:misc_RNA from 1 species